CGGUUGUUGGGGGUUCGCUCGAGCCUCACGACGCCCGCGACUGGGGACUCGGAACCUGGGCCAGGCUGGGACGAGGCCGCGCGGGAGGGCGCGCUGGGCGGACGCUGGGGCCGCGGAGCCCAACCGCCCUUGUCCUGGACGCCCCUUGGCGGUCCGCACUGGCGGGUGCCCUCUCCCGAGGGGAACUGAGGCGGGGCGCCUGCCACCAUUCGUGAUUUUCCGUGACUCACCCUCUCAACAGUGUCCCGUCAGCCCCCGCUUUCUGGAAUUAAGAUGAUUUUCCAUGGGCAUUAUAGUCAGAGGAGGUUUUCUGUGAGACAUCUGGGAAAGGUGACUCAAUGAUCACUCAUAUUGUUCUAUGAUGUUAUACAUUUAACCGGAAUACUGGUGAACAGCUUUUAUAUCUUGGAAUUUUUUCCCAUUUUUGAAUCAGAAAUUUAGGACCAAGAAUCUUCUGUCACAGAACCUAUUACUUUGAGGAGUGAACUUAUAUUAACGGUGCUAAACCGUACAUGAACGACUUGGUAGAUGAAAACUUUGGAAAAUAGGAACAUUUCAUGUCAUCACAUGUAUCCUCCAGCAUUGGGGAAAAUUCAACAGUUGCCUUAAGGCGGGAGUUUAAUUGAGGACAUUUACUAAAAAGUUACUUAUUCUGUUUGAAAUUCUCUUCUGAUAAACAUCUUCCCGGGAUAACGAACAUCUCCAGGAUGUGAGAGCCGAGCGCGUGUCCGCGGAGUGCUUGAGCAACGCAGAAUGGCUUCGGUGCUGCGUUCCUUAGACCCCGUGCGGACCCUGCUGAGCCCUCAGCAUCUAUUGUGAAUAAUUGGUCUACUUUGAAGCUCAGAAGAGUCAUUGUGAAUAAUAUGGACAGAGUAAAAGAGUUAUGACAUUAGCUGUUAGUGACAUUAGCUCGAAGCCCACAAUAGUCAUAGAAAGGGGGAGACUUCACAACACCAUCUCCCUGGUAUCCACUGGACUUUGAUGGGUGGCAUCCACUAGCGGAAUUCAGAAAAAUGAAGGUGUGAAAUCGGUUUUUAUAAAGAAGAGAACCAUGCUAUGGAGAAGGAUUACUGUAUCGCCUCUUCAGAAGCCUUGUAUGAUGCCAUCCUGGGAUACAGCUGAGGUAUAGAUGAAAGGAUUCAGCAUCGGAGCCACCAUUGAAUACAUGAUGGUUGACAGAGU
rnacentral:lncRNA from 1 species